GAUGAACGCUGGCGGCGUGCCUAAUACAUGCAAGUCGAGCGAACGGACGAGAAGCUUGCUUCUCUGAUGUUAGCGGCGGACGGGUGAGUAACACGUGGAUAACCUACCUAUAAGACUGGGAUAACUUCGGGAAACCGGAGCUAAUACCGGAUAAUAUUUUGAACCGCAUGGUUCAAAAGUGAAAGACGGUCUUGCUGUCACUUAUAGAUGGAUCCGCGCUGCAUUAGCUAGUUGGUAAGGUAACGGCUUACCAAGGCAACGAUGCAUAGCCGACCUGAGAGGGUGAUCGGCCACACUGGAACUGAGACACGGUCCAGACUCCUACGGGGGGCAGCAGUAGGGAAUCUUCCGCAAUGGGCGAAAGCCUGACGGAGCAACGCCGCGUGAGUGAUGAAGGUCUUCGGAUCGUAAAACUCUGUUAUUAGGGAAGAACAUAUGUGUAAGUAACUGUGCGCAUCUUGACGGUACCUAAUCAGAAAGCCACGGCUAACUACGUGCCAGCAGCCGCGGUAAUACGUAGGUGGCAAGCGUUAUCCGGAAUUAUUGGGCGUAAAGCGCGCGUAGGCGGUUUUUUAAGUCUGAUGUGAAAGCCCACGGCUCAACCGUGGAGGGUCAUUGGAAACUGGAAAACUUGAGUGCAGAAGAGGAAAGUGGAAUUCCAUGUGUAGCGGUGAAAUGCGCAGAGAUAUGGAGGAACACCAGUGGCGAAGGCGACUUUCUGGUCUGUAACUGACGCUGAUGUGCGAAAGCGUGGGGAUCAAACAGGAUUAGAUACCCUGGUAGUCCACGCCGUAAACGAUGAGUGCUAAGUGUUAGGGGGUUUCCGCCCCUUAGUGCUGCAGCUAACGCAUUAAGCACUCCGCCUGGGGAGUACGACCGCAAGGUUGAAACUCAAAGGAAUUGACGGGGACCCGCACAAGCGGUGGAGCAUGUGGUUUAAUUCGAAGCAACGCGAAGAACCUUACCAAAUCUUGACAUCCUUUGACAACUCUAGAGAUAGAGCUUUCCCCUUCGGGGGACAAAGUGACAGGUGGUGCAUGGUUGUCGUCAGCUCGUGUCGUGAGAUGUUGGGUUAAGUCCCGCAACGAGCGCAACCCUUAAGCUUAGUUGCCAUCAUUAAGUUGGGCACUCUAAGUUGACUGCCGGUGACAAACCGGAGGAAGGUGGGGAUGACGUCAAAUCAUCAUGCCCCUUAUGAUUUGGGCUACACACGUGCUACAAUGGACAAUACAAAGGGCAGCGAAACCGCGAGGUCAAGCAAAUCCCAUAAAGUUGUUCUCAGUUCGGAUUGUAGUCUGCAACUCGACUACAUGAAGCUGGAAUCGCUAGUAAUCGUAGAUCAGCAUGCUACGGUGAAUACGUUCCCGGGUCU
rnacentral:rRNA from 1 species